AGAGUUUGAUCCUGGCUCAGAACGUACGCUGGCGGCACGCCUUAUACAUGCAAGUCGAACGAAGUAGCAAUACUUAGUGGCAGACGGGUGAGUAACAUGUGGGUAUCUUCCCUUUGGUGAGGAAUAACACGAGGAAACUUGCGCUAAUACCUCAUAAGUCUUUACGGAGAAAGCUUUAUGCGCCGAAGGAUGAGCCCGCACUUGAUUAGUUUGUUGGUGGGGUAAUGGCCUACCAAGACUUUGAUCAAUAGCUGAUCUGAGAGGAUGAUCAGCCACAUUGGGACUGAGACACGGCCCAAACUCCUACGGGAGGCAGCAGUAGGGAAUAUUGCACAAUGGAGGAAACUCUGAUGCAGCGAUGCCGCGUGAGUGAAGAAGGCCUUUGGGUUGUAAAGCUCUUUCGUCGGGGAAGAAAAUGACUGUACCCGAAUAAGAAGGUCCGGCUAACUUCGUGCCAGCAGCCGCGGUAAUACGAAGGGACCUAGCGUAGUUCGGAAUUACUGGGCUUAAAGAGUUCGUAGGUGGGUAAAAUAGUUGGUUGUGAAAUCCCGGAGCUUAACUCCGGAACUGCAAUCAAAACUU
rnacentral:rRNA from 1 species